UACGAACUGUGCAAACGUUAUUCGGAUUCACUGGGCUUAAAGGGUGCGUAGGCGGCCAUGUAAGUAGGGUGUGAAAUCCCCGGGCUCAACCUGGGAAUUGCAUUCGAUACUGGAUAGCUAGAGUUCGGCAGAGGGAAGCGGAAUUUCCGGUGUAGCGGUGAAAUGCGUAGAUAUCGGAAGGAACAUCAGUGGCGAAAGCGGCUUCCUGGACCAGAACUGACGAUCAGGCACGAAAGCGUGGGAGCAAACAGG
rnacentral:rRNA from 1 species